ACCUGCCUGGUAGCGGGGGAGUAACUAUUGGAAACGAUAGCUAAUACCGCAUAAUAGUAGAUGUUGCAUGACAUUUGCUUAAAAGGUGCAAUUGCAUCACUACCAGAUGGACCUGCGUUGUAUUAGCUAGUUGGUGAGGUAACGGCUCACCAAGGCAACGAUACAUAGCCGACCUGAGAGGGUGAUCGGCCACACUGGGACUGAGACACGGCCCAG
rnacentral:rRNA from 1 species